UACGUAGGGUGCAAGCGUUGUCCGGAAUUAUUGGGCGUAAAGAGCUCGUAGGCGGUCUGUCACGUCGGCUGUGAAAAUCCAGGGCUCAACCCUGGACCUGCAUUCGAUACGGGCAGACUAGAAUUCGGUAGGGGAGACUGGAAUUCCUGGUGUAGCGGUGAAAUGCGCAGAUAUCAGGAGGAACACCGGUGGCGAAGGCGGGUCUCUGGGCCGAUAUUGACGCUGAGGAGCGAAAGCGUGGGGAGCGAACAGG
rnacentral:rRNA from 1 species